GGUUCUGUGGCAAGUUACAGGGACUCAUAAUCCCUUGGUCGUCCGUUCAAAUCGGACAGGGCCCACCA
rnacentral:tRNA from 1 species